UAAAGAUUCAUCGCUGAUAGAUAGGCAUGCGUUCCAUUAGGCAGUUGGCGGGGUAACGGCCCACCAAACCGACGAUGGAUAGGGGUUCUGAGAGGAAGGUCCCCCACAUUGGUACUGAGACACGGACCAAACUCCUACGGGAGGCAGCAGUGAGGAACAUUGGUCAAUGGGCGUAAGCCUGAACCAGCCAAGUCGCGUGAGGGAUGAAGGUUCUAUGGAUCGUAAACCUCUUUUAUAAGGGAAUAAAGUGCGGGACGUGUCCCGUUUUGUAUGUACCUUAUGAAUAAGGAUCGGCUAACUCCGUGCCAGCAGCCGCGGUAAUACGGAGGAUCCGAGCGUUAUCCGGAUUUAUUGGGUUUAAAGGGUGCGUAGGCGGCCUUUUAAGUCAGCGGUGAAAGUCUGUGGCUCAACCAUAGAAUUGCCGUUGAAACUGGGAGGCUUGAGUAUGUUUGAGGCAGGCGGAAUGCGUGGUGUAGCGGUGAAAUGCUUAGAUAUCACGCAGAACCCCGAUUGCGAAGGCAGCCUGCCAAGCCAUGACUGACGCUGAUGCACGAAAGCGUGGGGAUCAAACAGGAUUAGAUACCCUGGUAGUCCACGCAGU
rnacentral:rRNA from 1 species